GAUGAACGCUGGCGGCGUGCCUAAUACAUGCAAGUCGAGCGAACAGACGAGGAGCUUGCUCCUCUGACGUUAGCGGCGGACGGGCGAGUAACACGUGGAUAACCUACCUAUAAGACUGGGAUAACUUCGGGAAACCGGAGCUAAUACUGGAUAAUAUAUUGAACCGGAUGGUUCAAUAGAUAAAGACGGUUUUGCUGUCACUUAUAGAUGGAUCCGCGUCGCAUUAGCUAGUUGGUAAGGUAACGGCUUACCAAGGCGACGAUGCGUAGCCGACCUGAGAGGGUGAUCAGCCACACUGGAACUGAGACACGGUCCAGACUCCUACGGGAGGCAGCAGUAGGGAAUCUUCCACAAUGGGCGAAAGCCUGACGGAGCAACGCCGCGUGAGUGAUGAAGGUCUUCGGAUCGUAAAACUCUGUUAUUAGGGAAGAACAAAUGUGUAAGUAACUAUGCACGUCUUGACGGUACCUAAUCAGAAAGCCACGGCUAACUACGUG
rnacentral:rRNA from 1 species